rnacentral:lncRNA from 1 species
AGGUUUUGGGGUACAUGUGAAGAACAUGCAAGAUUGCUGCAUAGGGAGAGAAAGUGAGGCAUUUAUUGCAGGACACCAACCAAGAAGAAUUGUGUAGUUCAUGCUGAGUACUCAAACUCCCUGAUGGCUUAGAGGUAAAGUUUUUUUGAAUUAUUUCUCACUUUUUAAAAUUUCCAUAUAU